rnacentral:rRNA from 1 species
UACGUAGGGUGCGAGCGUUGUCCGGAAUUAUUGGGCGUAAAGAGCUCGUAGGCGGCCUGUCGCGUCGGAUGUGAAAGCCCGGGGCUUAACCCCGGGUCUGCAUUCGAUACGGGCAGGCUAGAGUGUGGUAGGGGAGAUCGGAAUUCCUGGUGUAGCGGUGGAAUGCGCAGAUAUCAGGAGGAACACCAAUAGCGAAGGCAGCUCGCUGGGACGUUACUGACACUAAGGCGCGAAAGCGUGGGGAGCGAACAGG